GAUAUUAGCACUGAACCGUCAGUGCUUAGGAUUCCAUCUUCUGAGGUUCAUCUGCCUUGGGGGUAGUGCCUGGCUUAAUUGCUGGGGCCUGGGUCUGUGUGAUUGGAAUAACCUUCUCAUUACCAGCCUGAGGCAGGGCCUUCUUUGGUGCAGAAAUA